CACUGUUAGGACUCCUACAAGAACACAAACGACACAGUCAUAGCAUACAGGAAGAGGGUGUAGGUCAGGCACAUACAGGCUCGCCACCACAAGAACAUGGCCCACAGAAUCAACCGACUGAGGCAUUUUACCUAGCGGUUGGUGUGGAUGACUUGGGCAUUGUUGUUUGGUAAAUAUUGAAGACACAAAGAUGCAUGCUCUGUUCCCGGCCCCAUCCGUAACUCUGUGACCUGUGGGACAUCCCACCAUUUUCUGGGCAUAACCAUUGAACCGGAUGACUUUUGAGACCCUCUUUGGUUGUGACUUUUAUAUCUGGGUCUGUCUCUCAGGAGCUCUUUGAUCGUUGUGAGAAUAAGAGACGGACAUUAUUUAAACUAGCCAGUGAGACAGAAGACAAUGACAAUAGUUUGGGGGACAUCCUGCAGGCCAGUGACAACCUGUCCAGGGUCAUCAACUCUUACAAAACAAUUAUUGAAGGGCAGAUCAUCAAUGGUGAGGUGACCACCUCAACCGUGCCUGACUCUGAAGGUAAAUACUCUUGACUUCCAUGCUGGGGCCCUCCAGACCAGCCACACGCAUGUCCUGACCACUGAGCCACAAAUGGUAAUGCUCGAAUUCCUGCGUGGACACAAGCCAUUUCAGGUAGCACUUCCCAGAGCCAGGAGGUGUGCAUGGAGGCUUCUUGCCUUCUCA
rnacentral:lncRNA from 1 species